rnacentral:rRNA from 1 species
GCAAGUCGAGUGCGCGGUUGUAGCAAUACAACUGGCGCACGGCGCACGGGUGCGUAACACGUGGGCAAUCUGCCCUCCGAUGGGGAAUAACCCCGCGAAAGCGGGGCUAAUACCGCAUAACAUUCCGGGGACCUCGGUUCCUGGACUCAAAGGCGUAAGUCGUCGGAGGUGGAGCCCGCGCCCGAUUAGCUAGUUGGUGAGGUAACGGCUCACCAAGGCAAUGAUCGGUAGCUGGUCUGAGAGGAUGGCCAGCCACACUGGAACUGAGACACGGUCCAGACUCCUACGGGAGGCAGCAGUGGGGAAUCUUGCGCAAUGGGCGAAAGCCUGACGCAGCGACGCCGCGUGGGGGAUGAAGCAUCUCGGUGUGUAAACCCCUUUCGACUGGGACGAAUGCCUCGCAAGAGGAGUGACGGUACCAGUAGAAGAAGCCCCGGCUAACUACGUGCCAGCAGCCGCGGUAAGACGUAGGGGGCCAGCGUUGUUCGGAAUUACUGGGUGUAAAGGGUUCGUAGGCGGUGUAGCAAGUCGGGAGUGAAAUCUCUGGGCUUAACCCAGAGGUUGCUUCCGAAACUGCUGUGCUGGAGUGUGGGAGAGGCGCGUGGAAUUGCAGGUGUAGCGGUGAAAUGC